UCCUGGUGGCUUAGAUGGUAAAGAAUCUGCCCGCAAAGCAGAAAACAUGGGUUCAAUCCAUGAAUCAGGAA
rnacentral:tRNA from 1 species